UUAUUGAAGGCCGUGAUAACGACAACAUUUUACACGGUGUUGUGACAGAACUUAUGGACGAAUCGGAUGAUGAGAUAUACCAAUUUAUAGCGGAGAAUUCUGACACUGAAGAUGAGGCCAUUAUUGGAAAAAUAAUAAAAGUUUUGAAAAGAACACCAAGGAACAGCAUUCAAAACUAUUUUGAGGUUGUAAUGUCCACAUAUACAGGCGAGGAAUUCAUAAAGCAUUUUCACAUUGAGUCUUACGAAAAUCUACGCGCGCCUAAUCGCUUGUCAGCAGCCAAAAGUCUAGCCGUGUUUCUCUGGUUUGCCGGGCAUGAAGCGUGUAGCUAUCGUGACUUGUCUGAUCGCUUCAAUAUUAUAAUAUCUAGCGUUUGCCGUACUAUUGAAAGACUCUCGAUGUUUAUAAGUGGGAUGAGCACUGAAUGUAUUAAGUGGCCCAGCAAUGAAAGGAAAGAAGAAUCCGCCAAAUAUUUCCAAGUUUGGUUUUCCGAAAGCAAUAGGGGACGCAGAUAGUGAUCGACCCUCCCGCUGAACGCAAAGACGACUAUAUUGACCGGAAAGGCAACGUGACACUUAUUAUGCAAGCAUUUACUGAUGAAAGGAAAAAGUUUAUUGAUGUUUUCAUAGGAUUUCCGGGUUCAAGUCACGACAGUUGGGUUCUCCAAAACUCUAGCGUAUAUAGGAAUUUAUCAUCUUUAUGUGGAGGCUACUAUUUGCUUGGGGACUCUGCUUAUCCAUGUAGUGACUUUAUUAUUACGCCAUUUAAAGAUAAUUGACAUUUAACAACUGACCAAAAGUAGUUUGGCAUACUGAAGCAACGAUUUCGACAAUUAUACUACUGCAAAUUGAAAGGCAAUAAAAAGUUAUGCCAUUUCUUAGCAGCGUGUUGUGUCUUGCAUAAUAUUACCAAUGAAAAUGAUUUUGAAUUUGUAAACGAGGUUAGCAAUGAGGAGUCAAUAGAAAAUGAGAGCUACGAACCAAUAAGAAGUAAUCAUGUUAGAAACCUUCUUUGUAUUGAAAUGAGAAA